rnacentral:misc_RNA from 1 species
AAAGUCGUAACAAGGUCUCCGUUGGUGAACCAGCGGAGGGAUCAUUACAGAGUUACUAAACUCCAACCCCUGUGAACCUUACCUAUAUCGUUGCCUCGGCGUCCGCCGCCGCGCCCCCAUAGCGGGGAGCGGCGACGCCGCCGGGGGUAUCAAACUCUGAUUUUUAGUAUAUCUCUGAGCCUGAAAUAAAUAAAUCAAAACUUUCAACAACGGAUCUCUUGGUUCUG